rnacentral:rRNA from 1 species
GACGAACCGUCCAAACGUUAUUCGGAAUCACUGGGCUUAAAGGGUGCGUAGGCGGCCCGGAAAGUUGGGUGUGAAAGCCCUCGGCUCAGCCGAGGAAUUGCGCCCAAAACUGCCGGGCUCGAGGAAGACAGAGGUGAGCGGAACUUAGGGUGGAGCGGUGAAAUGCGUUGAUAUCCUAAGGAACACCAGUAGCGAAAGCGGCUCACUGGGUCUUUUCUGACGCUGAUGCACGAAAGCUAGGGGAGCGAAGAGGAUUAGAUACCCUCGUAGUCCUAGCCGUAAACAAUGAGCACUGGUUUGGAGGGUCCUCCAUAGCCUUCCAGACGUAGCGAAAGUGUUAAGUGCUCCGCCUGGGGAGUAUGGUCGCAAGGCUGAA